rnacentral:lncRNA from 1 species
GGGAAAAGAAAUAAGAACCCUAGCUGAAAAAUUUGCGAAAAAUCAAGAGAAAUCAAGAAAUCAAGCAUUAAAAAGGUAAAUUUCAUUGAUUUUCCUUGUGAUUUUCACUACCCAUGCAUUUUUUUCUCAUUUCCAUGCAAAAUUAGAAAGUGGGUAUGGACACCCAUGCUGGCCAAACCUCCAUGGAUGAGUUUUGAGCUUGAGUUUUAGUUGAUUUUAAUUGAAUUAAGUGAUUUUAGUUAGGUUAUAUUGAAAUAUAGCAAAAAUAAGCUAGAGAAAUAAUUUUCUCCCAUUGAAACCCAUUAUGCCGAAUUUUCUAGGGGAAUAUUGGCUGCUGAUCUUGAUGUUUAUUUAAGAAAUUAUGAUGAAUUAUGAGCCUAGAAAAAUAAUGGGAAUUUUCAGAGCAAAAAUAUGAAUUUUUGCCCACUAGGGGUAUUUUUGUAAUUUAUUGUCGAGGCUGAUAAUUUGCACCACCCUGAGAGACAUUUAGUCAAUUUGGGUGCAAUUGAGGUAUAAAAACUGAAAAAAAUUAAUUUAGAAUUUAAACGGAUGCGUAUAUCGAUUUAUCGAGUAAAAGACCGAAAUAGGCUAACAUCGCCUUUAAGCAGUAGUCGGAUAAGUUGCAUAUCAUAUCAUGCAUAUACAUCGAGCCUAAAAUAGCUUAUGACUAUUAGAUAUAAUUUAAUUGGAAUAUGUGUCAUGGAUUAUGGCUAGGUGGUGAGCCAUUGUAUAAGGGUAAAGGCCUAUACCCGCGGACUGAAAACAUGAGUAUUUCUACUCCUAAUACUGUGAGUGGAUAAUUUAUCGUUUUAAAUAUCUAGAGUAAUUAUACUUGUUUGAUGCUUUUAUUGAAUGGUGAGUUUAAAUUAUAAAAUAUUAUAUUUUCCAAUUAAAAUAUUUUUUUAAUAAAAAUGAGAUUUAUAUUGGUUUUGAAAUCAAAUAUUGUUUUGGGAAAAUUGAGUAUAUGGAGACUGUGUUGAAAUUUAUGAUUUUAUAUGUUAUUGAAAUUGGGGCUUAUGACACUAUGGUAGCAUGAUGACUAAGUUUUUGGGGUUGGCAUGAAAUAUAUGAACAGUUUUGGAUUAGUCUCGGUAGACUAGAUUAAAUUUUAUUCACCAUAUUAUGCUACUGGAAAUUUUAUAGGUCUGGUAGUAUAUUAAACAGUCACUGCAGUGGUGGGGGUUUCCAUGGACUGCCUAUGAGAGGGGCAUGGUAACCCAAUUAUAUACUUACCUUUGGGGGGAGAUGUUGGGUGAAGUAUCUCUUGAGGUAUGAUUUGAGUGCACCUCACGUUUGAGCCACCAUGUGAGAGUGAGACUCAGCCAACGCCAAGGAACGGCUGUGUGUCAGAUGUGAAAACAUGUUUAUGGGUAUGGGUCAUUGAACAGCCUUGACGGUUUCAGUGGGAUACCUUGACGAAGGUACCCGCGAGAAUGAUUCUGGCAAGGGCCAAGUUUAAGAAAUUCAUAAGCCGGGAAAUUUUGAUGAAAAUAAAUUGUUUGGUAUAGAUUGAAACAAAUUUUGCGUUAUGAAUAUUAUUGAGAUAUAAUGUUUUUAUAUUGUCUCCAUCUACUCGGCUUUAGAUGCUUUUGAUGGUAAUUGUUUACUCACUGGGAUUAUGUAAUUAUAAUCUCACCCCUCUUCCUAUCCAUUUUUCAGGCUCAGGACAGUUUGUUGAUAGUUGAUUAAGGCGAGAAUUAAUCUCAGAGUUUCAUCCUAGAAAGUAAGGGUUCGUAGCCCUACACCUUCUUGGUCAGUUGGGAGCCCAUGUGUCACUGUAAAAGAAAUUUUAUACUUCAGUUAUCUGAUUUAAAGUAUGUAUGAACAUAUUUAUCUUUUACACCAUGUUUUUGGUGGGUUUUGAUGUUUUCGAAGAAAAAUGACGAAAAUGCCCAUGUGAGCAAAAAAAAUAAUAUUUUAUUAUUUUUAUUUGAAAAAGACUUAUGAUUUCUUGAAAUGUAAUAUUUAAUAACUGUCGCUCACCGGAGAGAUGCGGAAGCUGAUGCUAAGCCUUGCGGGGUUUCGAUCGGCAUUUGGGGUAAUGAGUGCCUAUCAGGACGUCGCGACGGUUGUCACAAGCUCGAUGGGUAGUUCCGGG